rnacentral:sRNA from 1 species
GAAGUGUUGUAACUCCCAGGGCAAUCCAGUUUACAAAGAUACAAUAUGAUAUCUGUCUACGAAAUCACCUCUCCUGUCGUACAAUGUUUUGUUACAAAUUACCUUAUAUAAUACUUUUAUAUAUUUCGUAACAAUUUUGAUUUAUUAUUAAAAAUUUCAAUUCAUCAGCUUUUUUUUCGCUAUAAAAUGAUAGAUAAAAUAAUAUGUUUAAUAUCCGCUUUAUCUGCUAGUUUAAUUAUUUAUUAGUUAAAAAAGAUUUAACCUUUUUUGAUUGGCUUAAAUGUAUUUUUGUUAUUGAUACAAUACUCCUUAUGAAAUACAUACAUUGUAUAUAUUUAAAGACAUUAUUUUUAGAAGUGCAAUAUAAUAGCAUUUUUUAAAUGCUUAUUUACUGUUUAUACUUUUCUCAACUCGCUUAUGAAUAGCUACAAGUAUCAACACCCUUACAAUGAGUCAAUAACGGAUUCAGUUUUUUUUUUCUACUUUUGAACUUGGUUUACUGUCUGUAUUUUUUUUCUUUCUCAUACAAAACUUAUUCAUAUGACGUUGAAGACCAUAGGUUGUCCCCCAAACUUAAAUGCAUGACCAAUCUGUGUGUUGGCCUGAUUAAAUGCAUCAAUC